rnacentral:rRNA from 1 species
UACGGAGGGUGCAAGCGUUGUUCGGAAUCACUGGGCGUAAAGCGCGUGUAGGCGGCCUUUUAAGUCUGGUGUGAAAGCCCGGGGCUUACCCCCGGAAGUGCAUUGGAGACUGGGAGGCUAGAGUACCGGAGAGGAAGGUGGAAUUCCUGGUGUAGCGGUGAAAUGCGUAGAUAUCAGGAGGAACACCGGUGGCGAAGGCGGCCUUCUGGACCGGUAUUGACGCUGAGGCGCGAAAGCUAGGGGAGCAAACGGG